GGACUUGUUAGCUAGCUACAGGGUUAGAGUCACCUUAGCAGUUGUUUUAUCAAACAGCUCAGCUAGCCUCACUAGCUAGCUAAUGAGAUUAACAAACAGAUUAACAAACGGCUCAGCCACAAAGCGGUAGGCCACACAAGCUCACAGAACAGGACCGCCAAGUGCUGAAGCGCAUAGCGCGUAAAUAUCAUCUGUCCUCAAUUGCAACACUUACUAUCGAGUUCCAACUGCCUCUGGAAGCAACGUCAGCAAAAUAACUGUUUUUGUCGGGAGCUUCAUGAAAUGGGUUUUCAUGGACGAGCAACAGCACACAAGCCUGAAAUCACCAUGCGCAAUGCCAAACGUCGGCUGGCUUGGUGUAAAACGCACCGCCCUUGGACUCUGGAGCAGUGGAAGCGUGCUCUCUGGAAUGAUGAAUCACGCUUCACCAUCUAGCAGUCCGAUGGUGGAAUCUGGGUUUGGCGGAUAACAGAGGAAUGCUACCUGAACAAAUGCAGCGCUAACUGUAAAGUUUGGUGAAGGAAUACUGGUCUGGGUCUGUUUUUCCAUGGUUUGGGCUAGACAAUGACAUUCUAGACGAUUCUGUUCUUCCAUAAUCUAAACAUGUUUCACAUUGUGGACUUUAUAUCUGUGGAGAAGAAGGAGACCGAAGUUGUGCCUUCAUCAUGGGUCCAGGAUGGCAUGAGCUACUGGCCCCCUUAUACAUCCACAGGACGCUGCACAAGGGCAGUGAAACGUCAAGAAGCACCUGACGAAACAUGGGAUUUGUUUGAUGUGAACAUCAGGUUCGCUAGAGACACAUGAAGAUGUUCGCCAUAAGCUUCCUUUUACUGGCUGUGGUCUAAUCUGAUCUUCAGACUGAGGAGGAGGAUGACCGCCAUGCAUAUAUGAAGAGAAAAGGAAGGGGCACAAAUAAGCAAAUAUUCAGUGCCACUGAAAGUGAGGAUGAGGAGCCAAUGGAAAAGUUUUCACGCAAGGGCCAGUCCAACACCUCUAAGGGUUUGCCACCUGCACCAGUUAUCAGACCUCCAGAGCACAGAAGAGAGAUACCUGGAAAUUCUGAUAGGCCAACAAGGCUUGAGCAAAACAUUCAACGGCAGCAGCAGCCAGUGUGUGAUCCAAUUCUUCGUGAGAUCUUAACCUCCAUAGAAAUGAUUAAGCAAAAGCAAAAGCUGAUUUUGCCGCAGCUGCAAAAGCUCCAGGUGAACAGAUCAACCCUGGAUGAGGUUCCAGAUUUGACAGACCUUUGACUUCCAAUGUCCUUGCUGGAAGACUUGAGGAGAGUGGAGGGCCAACAUUCAGAUCAAGACUUAAAAAAGAACCUGACCAUGUAUUUGAGACUGUCUGGAGGGAUGACCACCAAGGAGAAUGUGUGGAGAAUCCUUUCAAAACUCCUUACAAAUGUCCUGGCCAUGAAAAUGAAUUGGAGAGGGGCCAAUGGGAAAUAGGCUUUUGAACCUCUUGCCUUAAAAAGUGUUGUUAUCGGUCCUGUGCGGCGCAGCCAUUCUGAAGUUCCUGAUGUGGAGAUAGAAAAAUACGUAAAACGAUGGAUGCAGCUAGCCCCCGACAGAGAUGGAGGGAGAGAAAGGAGAGAGCGAGUGAGAAGUGACCAGACCUUGGAGGAGUGAUGGAGAAAACCGAAUGCCUAGCAGAGCUUAAAUAGAACGAAAGCUUAAAUAUACAAAAUAAA
rnacentral:lncRNA from 1 species